AUUGAACGCUGGCGGCAGGCUUAACACAUGCAAGUCGAGCGGAGUGAUGGUGCUUGCACUAUCACUUAGCGGCGGACGGGUGAGUAAUGCUUAGGAAUCUGCCUAUUAGUGGGGGACAACAUCUCGAAAGGGAUGCUAAUACCGCAUACGUCCUACGGGAGAAAGCAGGGGAUCACUUGUGACCUUGCGCUAAUAGAUGAGCCUAAGUCGGAUUAGCUAGUUGGUGGGGUAAAGGCCUACCAAGGCGACGAUCUGUAGCGGGUCUGAGAGGAUGGACCGCCACAAUGGGACUGAGAAACGGCCCAGGCUCCUACGGGGGGCAGCAGUGGGGAAUAUUGGACAAUGGGGGGAACCCUGAUCCAGCCAUGCCGCGUGUGUGAAGAAGGCCUUAUGGUUGUAAAGCACUUUAAGCGAGGAGGAGGCUCUUUUGGUUAAUACCCAAGAUGAGUGGACGUUACUCGCAGAAUAAGCACCGGCUAACUCUGUGCCAGCCGCCGCAGUAA
rnacentral:rRNA from 1 species